rnacentral:rRNA from 1 species
GAUGAACGCUGGCGGCGUGCCUAAUACAUGCAAGUCGAGCGAACAGACGAGGAGCUUGCUCCUCUGACGUUAGCGGCGGACGGGUGAGUAACACGUGGAUAACCUACCUAUAAGACUGGGAUAACUUCGGGAAACCGGAGCUAAUACCGGAUAAUAUAUUGAACCGCAUGGUUCAAUAGUGUAAGACGGUUUUGCUGUCACUUAUAGAUGGAUCCGCGCCGCAUUAGCUAGUUGGUAAGGUAACGGCUUACCAAGGCAACGAUGCGUAGCCGACCUGAGAGGGUGAUCGGCCACACUGGAACUGAGACACGGCCCAGACUCCUACGGGAGGCAGCAGUAGGGAAUCUUCCGCAAUGGGCGAAAGCCUGACGGAGCAACGCCGCGUGAGUGAUGAAGGUCUUCGGAUCGUAAAACUCUGUUAUUAGGGAAGAACAAAUGUGUAAGUAACUAUGCACGUCUUGACGGUACCUAAUCAGAAAGCCACGGCUAACUACGUG